rnacentral:rRNA from 1 species
CCUACGGGUGGCAGCAGUGAGGAAUAUUGGUCAAUGGGCGCGAGCCUGAACCAGCCAAGUCGCGUGAGGGAAGACGGUCCUAUGGAUUGUAAACCUCUUUUGUCGGGGAGCAAAAGACGCCACGCGUGGUGCUCUGAGAGUACCCGAAGAAAAAGCAUCGGCUAACUCCGUGCCAGCAGCCGCGGUAAUACGUAGGGUGCAAGCGUUAUCCCGAUUUACUGGGUGUAAAGGGUGCGUAGACGGAGGCGCAAGUCUGGAGUGAAAUGCCGGGGCCCAACCCCGGAACUGCUCUGGAAACUGUGAAGCUUGAGUGCAGGAGGGGUAAGCGGAAUUCGUGGUGUAGCGGUGAAAUGCGUAGAUAUCAGGAGGAACACCGGCGGCGAAGGCGGCUUACUGUACUGUAACUGACGUUGAGGCUCGAAGGCGUGGGGAGCAAACAGGAUUAGAUACCCGAGUAGUC